UACAGAGGUGGCAAGCGUUGUUCGGAAUUACUGGGCGUAAAGGGCGCGUAGGCGGUUCGAUAAGUCCCGUGUGAAAGCCCCCGACUCAACUGGGGAACUGCACGGGAAACUGACGGACUUGAGUUCGGGAGAGGGAAGCGGAAUUCCGGGUGUAGCGGUGAAAUGCGUAGAUAUCCGGAGGAACACCGGUGGCGAAGGCGGCUUCCUGGACCGACACUGACGCUGAGGCGCGAAAGCGUGGGGAGCGAACAGG
rnacentral:rRNA from 1 species